CCCCCCCCCCACAUACUUUAUGACCGGUCCCUUAGAAGAUAUUCAAGUUUUUUUCUCCAAACGAAAUUCCGAUUGUUUCGCCAAGCGGUGAUUAAAUGUAUGAUUGUUUUGGUUUAUGUAAUGUUUUGACGGCAUUUGAUCCCCCGUUCGAAAGGUUAUUUUGUGAGGAUUUCAAUCUUAUGGUGGUUUUCGUACUCUUUGACGACAGGACGGAAUAUUUAUAUUUCUGUUCGUGGUAUCUUACAAGUAACACCCAGAAUUGGCUAUAGAUUAGUACAAGAAUAUUUAUAUUUCUCUUGUAAACAUCCAGACGGCGAGAAAGAUAUUCGGCUGAAUCAGCAAUGUUUGUGGUUAACUUCCGUUUCCUGACUUCCUCUGUAUUUUAGUUCUUACUUCCGUUUCCUUUCGAUUUAUAUUUUUGACUUUUCGAUUUAUUUUUAUGCGCCGCGGCUUUGACUUAUCAUUUGGGAGUUUCGCUUUAUAAAUGGAAGUUAGGACUUGCGUUUAGUUUUCAUAUAUAUCCUUUGAGGUUUGAAAUGUAUUUUGCAUUUUUCAAGUAUAUGCUUUAAACUUUCGUUUUAUUCAUUUGAGUUUGAACUUUAUCUUGAUAUUUUCAAUUAACAUUAUAUUGAGAGUUAUAACAUGUUUAUAUGAUGUUUGAAUAUUUCUUAUUGACUUGAAAUAAUUUUGACCGGAACGGAACGCCAUAAUGACGUCAAACUCACGCGUGUAUGUACAAUUUGACCUGUAGAACCAUUUCUGGCAUUUGCAAGGUCAUACGAUACAAAGGUCGCAUUGUUUUGACGGUUUUCAGUCGUAUUUCCGGUUGGGAUUAACUCACUUCGAGCUAAAAGUCGGACAAGAAAUGAA